AAGCUAUUGACAUUUUGAAAUGGAAGGUGACAGUCGCGAUCUACUUCAAAAAUGUAUUAGUAUGAAAAAUGUCAGUUUGGUGAGUGGUUGUGCAUUUUUUUAAAAAGUGAAUAAAUAUUCAAAGAAUAAUGGACCAUUCACAACAUACUUUACACGAAGGUCAUGAAACCAUGAAUCACGACCAUAUGCAUAUGGACCAUACGAAACAUAUGCACGGCGACGUCGGCCAUAGUAUGAUGCAGAUGUAUUUUUAUUUUUCUUCGUCUGCCACCGUACUAUUUUCCGAUUGGAAAUUUACUACGACCGGAGGUCUGAUUGGAUCUAUGAUAGGAAUAUUUAUAAUGGCGGCUUUAUACGAGGGACUCAAAUAUUUUAGAGAAUAUCUAUUUUGGAAAACGUACAAUUCGUUACAAUAUAGAGCGGUUGCGAUUCCAGAAAAGAACCAAUCACACGAAGAACCCCAAAUAGUGCAUCCUUCGAUGUUGAGCAAGAUGCAUUUCCUGCAGACGUUCCUGCACAUGGUCCAAAUGGUCAUAUCUUAUUUUCUGAUGCUGAUAUUCAUGACGUACAACACGUGGUUGUGCAUAUCGGUGGUAUUCGGUGCGGGCGUCGGCUAUUUUCUGUUCGGUUGGAAAAAAUCGGUCGUCGUCGAUGUAACGGAACAUUGUCACUGAUAUAGGAAAUUUAAAUACGCAGUAUCUUUUAGGGCUUUAAAAUGAUGACAAAAAAGAAAUAAUCAAACAAAAAAAAAAUAAUAACGCGUAAACACUAGUGUGAUAAGAUAAAACUUGUAUUUAAAAAAAAAAACGAGAAAAGUCUGCAGUCAAACGAGAUUUACGAUAUUCAAUAUGGCGGUGUUUGGGGUAAAUGGCGCGAGAAAGAUGAUACGAGGGUGAUGUCGAAUGUUGUUGAUUAUUUUACUAUUAAGUUCGUGGUUUUUAAUUCUAAAGGGUCAUUUUUGAUAAUUUCAAAGCGAUUUUGUAGAUUUUUUUCGUUUUUAUCAUAGAUAAUAAUUUUGGGAAAAAAAUAUCGAUAAAAAAAUCUCUUUUUUGACUUCCUUUUAUUCAUUUCGUCGUUUCCUCGAUUAUAUACAGGGGGAAAACAAAAUUUAACGAAAACUACUGGAAGGAAAUGGAAAAUAUAGUCAGAGGGGAGUGGAAGUGUUGGAAAUUGAAAAUACGGGGGAUGAUUGAUAAACAAAAAGAUUCGGUGGAUAAUUAAAAGCGAAAAAACGAAAUCGAGACAACGAGGGGUGAGUGAAAAGUUGGAAUGAGUUCAAAAUAGAAAAAAAAAUGGUGGAAAGGUGAAGAAAAAGGAAAAUUGUCGUGAAAAAGUAACAGAAAAUGAUCGUUUGAUGGUCAGAGGGGAGUGGAAGUGUUGGAAAUUGAAAAUACGGGGGAUGAUUGAUAAACAAAAAGAUUCGGUGGAUAAUUAAAAGCGAAAAAACGAAAUGGAGACAACCAGGGGGGUGAGUGAAAAGUUGGAAUGAGUUCAAAAUAGAAAAAAAAAAAUGGUGGAAAGGUGAAGAAAAAGGAAAAUUGUCGUGAAAAAGUAACAGAAAAUGAUCGUUUGAUGGUCAGAGGGGAGUAGAAGUGUUGGAAAUUGAAAAUACGGGGGAUGAUUGAUAAACAAAAAGAUUCGGUGGAUAAUUAAAAGCGAAAAAACGAAAUGGAGACAACCAGGGGUGAGUGAAAAGUUGGAAUGAGUUCAAAAUAGAAAAAAAAUGGUGGAAAGGUGAAGAAAAAGGAAAAUUGUCGUGAAAAAGUAACAGAAAAUGAUCGUUUGAUGAAGUUUGAUGGUCAGAGGGGAGUGGAAGUGUUGGAAAUUGAAAAUACGGGGGAUGAUUGAUAAACAAAAAGAUUCGGUGGAUAAUUAAAAGCGAAAAAACGAAAUCGAGACAACGAGGGGUGAGUGAAAAGUUGGAAUGAGUUCAAAAUAGAAAAAAAAAUGGUGGAAAGGUGAAGAAAAAGGAAAAUUGUCGUGAAAAAGUAACAGAAAAUGAUCGUUUGAUGGUCAGAGGGGAGUGGAAGUGUUGGAAAUUGAAAAUACGGGGGAUGAUUGAUAAACAAAAAGAUUCGGUGGAUAAUUAAAAGCGAAAAAACGAAAUGGAGACAACCAGGGGUGAGUGAAAAGUUGGAAUGAGUUCAAAAUAGAAAAAAAAUGGUGGAAAGGUGAAGAAAAAGGAAAAUUGUCGUGAAAAAGUAACAGAAAAUGAUCGUUUGAUGAAGUUUGAUGGUCAGAGGGGAGUGGAAGUGUUGGAAAUUGAAAAUACGGGGGAUGAUUGAUAAACAAAAAGAUUCGGUGGAUAAUUAAAAGCGAAAAAACGAAAUCGAGACAACGAGGGGUGAGUGAAAAGUUGGAAUGAGUUCAAAAUAGAAAAAAAAUGGUGGAAAGGUGAAGAAAAAGGAAAAUUGUCGUGAAAAAGUAACAGAAAAUGAUCGUUUGAUGAAGUUUGAUGGUCAGAGGGGAGUGGAAGUGUUGGAAAUUGAAAAUACGGGGGGUGAUUGAUAAACAAAAAGAUUCGGUGGAUAAUUAAAAGCGAAAAAACGAAAUCGAGACAACGAGGGGUGAGUGAAAAGUUGGAAUGAGUUCAAAAUAGAAAAAAAAAAAUGGUGGAAAGGUGAAGAAAAAGGAAAAUUGUCGUGAAAAAGUAACAGAAAAUGAUCGUUUGAUGGUCAGAGGGGAGUAGAAGUGUUGGAAAUUGAAAAUACGGGGGAUGAUUGAUAAACAAAAAGAUUCGGUGGAUAAUUAAAAGCGAAAAAACGAAAUGGAGACAACCAGGGGUGAGUGAAAAGUUGGAAUGAGUUCAAAAUAGAAAAAAAAUGGUGGAAAGGUGAAGAAAAAGGAAAAUUGUCGUGAAAAAGUAACAGAAAAUGAUCGUUUGAUGAAGUUUGAUGGUCAGAGGGGAGUGGAAGUGUUGGAAAUUGAAAAUACGGGGGAUGAUUGAUAAACAAAAAGAUUCGGUGGAUAAUUAAAAGCGAAAAAACGAAAUCGAGACAACGAGGGGUGAGUGAAAAGUUGGAAUGAGUUCAAAAUAGAAAAAAAAUGGUGGAAAGGUGAAGAAAAAGGAAAAUUGUCGUGAAAAAGUAACAGAAAAUGAUCGUUUGAUGGUCAGAGGGGAGUGGAAGUGUUGGAAAUUGAAAAUACGGGGGAUGAUUGAUAAACAAAAAGAUUCGGUGGAUAAUUAAAAGCGAAAAAACGAAAUGGAGACAACCAGGGGUGAGUGAAAAGUUGGAAUGAGUUCAAAAUAGAAAAAAAAUGGUGGAAAGGUGAAGAAAAAGGAAAAUUGUCGUGAAAAAGUAACAGAAAAUGAUCGUUUGAUGAAGUUUGAUGGUCAGAGGGGAGUGGAAGUGUUGGAAAUUGAAAAUACGGGGGAUGAUUGAUAAACAAAAAGAUUCGGUGGAUAAUUAAAAGCGAAAAAACGAAAUCGAGACAACGAGGGGUGAGUGAAAAGUUGGAAUGAGUUCAAAAUAGAAAAAAAAUGGUGGAAAGGUGAAGAAAAAGGAAAAUUGUCGUGAAAAAGUAACAGAAAAUGAUCGUUUGAUGAAGUUUGAUGGUCAGAGGGGAGUGGAAGUGUUGGAAAUUGAAAAUACGGGGGGUGAUUGAUAAACAAAAAGAUUCGGUGGAUAAUUAAAAGCGAAAAAACGAAAUCGAGACAACGAGGGGUGAGUGAAAAGUUGGAAUGAGUUCAAAAUAGAAAAAAAAAAAUGGUGGAAAGGUGAAGAAAAAGGAAAAUUGUCGUGAAAAAGUAACAGAAAAUGAUCGUUUGAUGGUCAGAGGGGAGUAGAAGUGUUGGAAAUUGAAAAUACGGGGGAUGAUUGAUAAACAAAAAGAUUCGGUGGAUAAUUAAAAGCGAAAAAACGAAAUGGAGACAACCAGGGGUGAGUGAAAAGUUGGAAUGAGUUCAAAAUAGAAAAAAAAUGGUGGAAAGGUGAAGAAAAAGGAAAAUUGUCGUGAAAAAGUAACAGAAAAUGAUCGUUUGAUGAAGUUUGAUGGUCAGAGGGGAGUGGAAGUGUUGGAAAUUGAAAAUACGGGGGAUGAUUGAUAAACAAAAAGAUUCGGUGGAUAAUUAAAAGCGAAAAAACGAAAUCGAGACAACGAGGGGUGAGUGAAAAGUUGGAAUGAGUUCAAAAUAGAAAAAAAAUGGUGGAAAGGUGAAGAAAAAGGAAAAUUGUCGUGAAAAAGUAACAGAAAAUGAUCGUUUGAUGGUCAGAGGGGAGUGGAAGUGUUGGAAAUUGAAAAUACGGGGGAUGAUUGAUAAACAAAAAGAUUCGGUGGAUAAUUAAAAGCGAAAAAACGAAAUGGAGACAACCAGGGGUGAGUGAAAAGUUGGAAUGAGUUCAAAAUAGAAAAAAAAUGGUGGAAAGGUGAAGAAAAAGGAAAAUUGUCGUGAAAAAGUAACAGAAAAUGAUCGUUUGAUGAAGUUUGAUGGUCAGAGGGGAGUGGAAGUGUUGGAAAUUGAAAAUACGGGGGAUGAUUGAUAAACAAAAAGAUUCGGUGGAUAAUUAAAAGCGAAAAAACGAAAUCGAGACAACGAGGGGUGAGUGAAAAGUUGGAAUGAGUUCAAAAUAGAAAAAAAAUGGUGGAAA